rnacentral:rRNA from 1 species
CCUACGGGAGACAGCAGUGGGGAAUAUUGCGCAAUGGGCGAAAGCCUGACGCAGCGACGCCGCGUGAGGGAUGAAGGUCUUCGGAUCGUAAACCUCUGUCAGCAGGGAAGAACGAUCCCUUUGCUAAUCAGCAUUGCAUUGACGGUACCUGCAAAGGAAGCACCGACUAACUCCGUGCCAGCAGCCGCGGUAAUACGGAGGGUGCGAGCGUUAAUCGGAAUUACUGGGCGUAAAGCGCUCGUAGGCGGUAUGUCAAGUCAAGGGUGAAAUCCCCGCGCUCAACGUGGGAACUGCCUUUGAAACUGGUAAACUGGAGUGUGGGAGAGGAUAGUGGAAUUCCAGGUGUAGGAGUGAAAUCCGUAGAUAUCUGGAGGAACAUCAGUGGCGAAGGCGACUAACUGGAACAUAACUGACGCUGAGGAGCGAAAGCGUGGGUAGCAAACAGGAUUAGAUACCCUGGUAGUC